GACGAACGCUGGCGGCGUGCCUAAUACAUGCAAGUUGAGCGAUGAAGAUUGGUGCUUGCACCAAUUUGAAGAGCAGCGAACGGGUGAGUAACGCGUGGGGAAUCUGCCUUUGAGCGGGGGACAACAUUUGGAAACGAAUGCUAAUACCGCAUAACAACUUUAAACAUAAGUUUUAAGUUUGAAAGAUGCAAUUGCAUCACUCAAAGAUGAUCCCGCGUUGUAUUAGCUAGUUGGUGAGGUAAAGGCUCACCAAGGCGAUGAUACAUAGCCGACCUGAGAGGGUGAUCGGCCACAAUGGGACUGAGACACGGCCCAAACUCCUACGGGAGGCAGCAGUAGGGAAUCUUCGGCAAUGGACGAAAGGCUGACCGAGCAACGCCGCGUGAGGGAAGAAGGUUUUCGGAUCGUAAAACUCUGUUGGUAGAGAAGAACGUUGGUGAGAGUGGAAAGCUCAUCAAGUGACGGUAACUACCCAGAAAGGGACGGCUAACUACGUG
rnacentral:rRNA from 1 species